AUACUUAGCUGGCAGGGAGACCCCAUGAUUACGAAGAAGGUCUUCCCUAGGGAGGCUCAUCCAUUGCAAUCCAAUGUGAUGACCCCCAUGACUUCCUCAAACGGGAAACUUGAAUGCAUAAUUUGUGGUUGUGGAGAACUGAGUUCUUGCUCUCCCC